UACAGGUGGGCAAGCGUUGUCCGGAAUACUGGGCGUAAAGCGCGCGCAGGCGGCGAUCUACGUCUGGGGUGAAAGCCCGGAGCUCAACUCCGGGACUGCCUUGGAUACGGGAUCGCUUGAGGAUUGGAGAGGCAAGGGGAAUUCCACGUGUAGCGGUGAAAUGCGUAGAGAUGUGGAGGAACACCUGUGGCGAAGGCGCCUUGCUGGCCAAUUUCUGACGCUGAGGCGCGAAAGCGUGGGGAGCAAACAGG
rnacentral:rRNA from 1 species